UCUGGAGCUUGACGGGAAGCUGUUCGUUGACACGCAGCAGGCCCCUACCUGGCGCGCCAACUGUCGGCGUUUCGAAAUUGGAAAUUGAAAUACAAGGGAAAAAUACAAGGGAAAAAUAAAAGAAAAUAAAAUAAAAAAGGAACAUGCUUUCAGCCUGGUCUGCUCCGUAGGCCCAUUUCUCCUUUUAACCCCUGCCCCGGCUCACCAAAACUCACCCCUUUUCUUUUCCCCCAAGUGGAUGACACAUGGGCCCUAUGCGUCGGUCGGGCAGGGCUAGACUCCGCAAGCCGGUCGUGCCCGUGUCUCCAGCAUCCAUCACUGUCAGGUGAGUCCCGGUGCUAGUCUCUAUCAAGUCGCUCUCAAUCACUGCCAUGUGGGGCCCACUUGCCAGCUCUUUCCCCUUCAUGGUGGUUGUGGGCUCGUCUACUGUCCGAUCUAGAAUCUCGUAGUGGCCGUGGGGGGAUCAUCAGCUGGGUAGUUACGAUUUUCGCGGGGUUGUUGGGGUUGGUUCCCAACUUCUACCGUGUAUAUAUGUGCGUAGACCGACCCCUGCUCCAUUGUCUACCGUCGAGUGCCAUUGCCGCCGAGAGGGAGAUGAGAUGGUCACCGAACGAUCUUCUCGCCUGCGUCGCUGCUCCAAGUUUAACAGGUGGUCUUGCGAGUGGCCAAGUCAUCCCGCACCUAUCCGUGGCCACCCCGGGCGAAGCCACCAACUGAAAUGCUGGUGAUUUCUCGUUGGAGUGGAGGAGCCACCGUGAAGCCACAUCUCGCCAUAGACUGGACUCCACAUUACUCAAACCACCGAAGCGAGGUCACGUGGAACCCGAAGACCAACUUAGUGAAGUACCUGGAAUCUCAAGUCACAGGCAAGUUGUGCCCUUGAUCACUCUUCUUUACCCAAUAAUAUUUCUGUUAAUCACUGUGACAUGCUUAGGUUAAUUUGAUGGGACCUAAUAGGUUACCCUAGUUUUGUCUACCCUAUACCUUGCUUACAAAUGAAUUAAUGGGUACAAUUUGCUAUUGCUCCA